CAUGCAAGUCGAACGGUAACAGGUCUUCGGAUGCUGACGAGUGUCGAACGGGUGAGUAAUACAUCGGAACGUGCCUAGUAGUGGGGGAUAACUACUCGAAAGAGUAGCUAAUACCGCACGAGAUCUAAGGAUGAAAGCAGGGGACCUUCGGGCCUUGCGCUACUAGAGCGGCUGAUGGCAGAUUAGGUAGUUGGUGGGAUAAAAGCUUACCAAGCCGACGAUCUGUAGCUGGUCUGAGAGGACGACCAGCCACACUGGAACUGAGACACGGUCCAGACUCCUACGGGAGGCAGCAGUGGGGAAUUUUGGACAAUGGGCGAAAGCCUGAUCCAGCAAUGCCGCGUGUAGGAUGAAGGCCCUCGGGUUGUAAACUACUUUUGUACGGAACGAAAAGACACCUUCUAAUACAGGGUGUCGAUGACGGUACCGUAAGAAUAAGCACCGGCUAACUACGUGCCAGCAGCCGCGGUAAUACGUAGGGUGCAAGCGUUAAUCGGAAUUACUGGGCGUAAAGCGUGCGCAGGCGGUUAUGUAAGACAGAGGUGAAAUCCCCGGGCUCAACCUGGGAACGGCCUUUGUGACUGCAUAGCUAGAGUACGGUAGAGGGGGAUGGAAUUCCGCGUGUAGCAUUGAAAUGCGUACAUAUGCGGAGGAACACCGAUGGCGAAGGCAAUCCCCUGGACCUGUACUGACGCUCAUGCACGAAAGCUUGGGGAGCAUACAGGAUUAGAUACCCUGGUAGUCCACGCCCUAAACGAUGUCAACUGGUUGUUGGGAAUUAACUUUCUCAGUAACGAAGCUAACGCGUGAAGUUGACCGCCUGGGUGAGUACUGACGCAAGGUUGAAACUCAAAGGAAUUGACGGGGACCCGCACAUGCGGUGGA
rnacentral:rRNA from 1 species